CGUUUUAAUAAUGCAUAAAUGGAAAACAAUCGCAAUUAUCAGAUCACCAAAACCAGAUCAUCAACACAAUUCAAUCUGCACGAUAUUGCCACUACUAUUCAUUGACUCUUUCAAUAAUAAUUUAAAAUAACAUAUAUAUCCGCCGCCCGCCGUAUAUAAAUACACACAUCGAUAGAUACAUUAUACAUAUAUACAGAGGAGUUGAAUUGAAGAAAAAUGGGGAUUGUGGAGCAGGCGAAGAACUUCGUCGCCGAAAAGGUGGCCCAGAUGCCGGUGCCGGAGGCCACCGUCGAAGACGUCGAUCUCAAGGGUUUCGGCCUCGACGGAAUAACCCUCCUGGCUAAGGUUUCCAUUUCCAAUCCGUACGCCGUUCCGAUUCCCGUCGGAGAAAUCAGCUACAUCGUCAGCAGCGCCGGCGCAACGAUCGCCUCCGGUUCAGUGCCGGACCCUGGAUCGCUCAAGGCCAACGGCGAAACCGUGCUGGAUGUGACGGUGAAGGUGGCCAGCACCGCGGUUGUCAGCCUGCUCCGGGACGCCGCCGCCGAUUGGGAUAUCGAUUACUCGUUGGAGUUGAAGAUGAUCGCUGAUUUUCCGGUGAUUGGUGACGUCACCAUUCCGGUGUCGUAUCAAGGUGUGUUGAAGCUGCCCACGUUUGCUGACCUGUUCAAAGGGAAUUCUGAACCGUCAGCAGAUGCAAGUGUUGUAUAAUUAAUUCUCAGUUUUUUAAUUCACUUAUUUAUCUGUUUAGUAAUUUGGAGAAGUUAUUGAAUAUGUAUCCAUUAAAAUUAAAUUAUAUUUUUAUAUAUACAUAUAAAAUAUAAAUGUUUUUAUAUAUGUUUGAUCCCUUUGUUACGAGUUAUGACUUGUGAUCUUGCUUGGACGAACAUAGAUUGGGCAAAAAUAAACAUGGGAGAAAUUA